UACGAAGGGGGCUAGCGUUGCUCGGAAUCACUGGGCGUAAAGGGCGCGUAGGCGGACUUUUAAGUCGGGGGUGAAAGCCCAGGGCUCAACCCUGGAAUUGCCUUCGAUACUGGGAGUCUUGAGUUCGGAAGAGGUUGGUGGAACUGCGAGUGUAGAGGUGAAAUUCGUAGAUAUUCGGAAGAACACCAGUGGCGAAGGCGGCUCACUGGUCCGGUACUGACGCUGAGGUGCGAAAGCGUGGGGAGCAAACAGG
rnacentral:rRNA from 1 species